rnacentral:rRNA from 1 species
CAGUAGCCACGGGAAUACAGAGGGUGCGAGCGUUAAUCGGAUUUACUGGGCGUAAAGCGUGCGUAGGCGGCUUCUUAAGUCGGAUGUGAAAUCCCUGAGCUUAACUUAGGAAUUGCAUUCGAUACUGGGAAGCUAGAGUAUGGGAGAGGAUGGUAGAAUUCCAGGUGUAGCGGUGAAAUGCGUAGAGAUCUGGAGGAAUACCGAUGGCGAAGGCAGCCAUCUGGCCUAAUACUGACGCUGAGGUACGAAAGCAUGGGGAGCAAACAGGAUUAGAUACCCCAGUAGUCCCUGUCUCUUAUAA